UCCUGUUGUGUGGCCCAGACAGGGCACUGUCUGUGGCCCCAGGGGUUGAGGACCCCUGGCUUUAACAACAGAAAGACCCCAGUUACUGGAUUGGGAUCCACCCUCACUCAAUAUGGCCUCAGCUUAAUGAAAGACAUCUGCAGAGACCCUAUUUCUACUAAAAGCCACAUUCUGAGACUUCUCGUGGGCGUGAGUUUUUGAGAGACACUGUUCUGCUCCAUGCAGGGAGGGAAUUGGGAUCUGAAGACGUUGCAUUCGAGGUCUCGGGGCUCCUGAUGAGCAGCCUCGGCCUGACCUGGGGCAGGUGUGAUGUCUGCGGCUCACCAUCUCCACCCUGCCUGCUGUGGAAUCUCCACAACGACAGGUGCUUUGGAGGCCAGAGUGCAUGCGUACGGGCCCUGCACACGCUGAAUGUCACUGGGAACAAGGACACACCCCGCUUCCAGGAGAAGAUAGAACAUGUCGACCCCUUUUAGCCAUCCCCAGUGCAGGACAUGCUAUUGACUUCCAUGAGACAAACACCUACUUGGAAAUCAGGUUUUUUCUGUACCUUUUGAAGGAGCAGGAAUUUCCCAGCAUUUCCUGGACAAAGACGGAGAUUCUUUCCACUGAGGAGGCAAGGAUGGAGUUGCUGCUGACCCGUGCAGAUUUGCUGCUGGUAACAUACUCAUGGGCAAAGUCUGAAAAACCUCUUCCUGCCCUGGGCAAGGCAGAUGGGGCAGCCCAGCAGGCUGGCUUUGCCCACCGUCUCCGAUAUCAUCCAACACAGUCAGCCAGGCCACAUUCGCUGCAUCCUUUCCAGCAAGAUGUCAUUCUGAGAUUUUUGUCAUUCCUGGGCGUUAUGAGGACUGCCAAGGGACACAAUUCCAUGGGAGGAAAGUUUUCUUCUAAGCUGCAAGCCAGCUCUGGCUUCUGGAGUUUCUCCUUAGGAUUGCAAGACAGUAGUUCCCUGUCCUUUAGGUCUUCUCCAGAAAUACCUUAAAAUAGCAAAUAAAAUAAGAUAUAA
ensembl:lncRNA SCAT1 S-phase cancer associated transcript 1